GAUGAACGCUAGCGGCAGGCCUAAUACAUGCAAGUCGAACGCGAUUAAGGUGCUUGCACCUUAUGAAAGUGGCGCACGGGUGCGUAACGCGUAUGCAACCUACCUUUAUCAGGGGGAUAGCCCGGAGAAAUCCGGAUUAAUACCGCAUAAAAUCACAGGAUAGCAUUUUCCAAUGAUCAAACAUUUAUGGGAUAAAGAUGGGCAUGCGUGUCAUUAGCUAGUUGGCGGGGUAACGGCCCACCAAGGCGACGAUGACUAGGGGAUCUGAGAGGAUGGCCCCCCACACUGGUACUGAGACACGGACCAGACUCCUACGGGAGGCAGCAGUAAGGAAUAUUGGUCAAUGGAGGGAACUCUGAACCAGCCAUGCCGCGUGCAGGAAGACUGCCCUAUGGGUUGUAAACUGCUUUUAUCCGGGAAUAAACCUACUUACGUGUAAGUAGCUGAAUGUACCGGAAGAAUAAGGAUCGGCUAACUCCGUGCCAGCCGCCGCGGUAAGAC
rnacentral:rRNA from 1 species